rnacentral:tRNA from 1 species
GCCUGGGUGGCUCAGUCGGUGAAGCGUCCGACUUCGGCUCAGGUCAUGAUCUCGCGGUCCGUGGGUUCGAGCCCCGCGUCGGGCU